CAGAUGUAUCUGUGGUUGUUAAUGCUUUAAAUUCUUUGUCGCGACAAAUAUCGAAAUUCGAAGAAAAAGUAGACAGCAGAUUUGAAAAGAUAGAGCGCAGACUACAGGACAUCGACGGCAGAUUUGAGCUACUGGACGAGGAAGUGAAGAACUUAAGCUCUGAUCGUGUUGAAACUUUCAGCUCCGAUUCCACACCCGCAAAACGGAUUAAAAGAGCAAAGAACACACGUGUUGCUGUAAGUAAGUUUGCUUAUGACUAAGGACUGUGCACAAUUCCUUUUACAUUUAACUGCAUGUCCACAUGAGGUAAUAAUGCUUAAAUACUUUUAGAAUCACACUAACUUUGUAUUAUUAAUCUAUACAGGAGGCUGUAAGACGUUUACACAAUUCUGAAAACAACGCUAUGAAGCUGGAUCCAAAACAAAGUAUCAAUUCUCCACAUAACCUUGCAGUUACGACAUACAUGUUGGAGCAGGUCGGCAUUGCUUUUCCUGACACAGACAGCGACGUGAUAACAGCUGCUUGCAAGACUUAUUUUGAGUCUUUGAAAAGGAGCCAUCGUCUCGAUCAGCCAGAAAAUGAAAUUAAACAAUGCAAUGAAGACUAGACAAUGGAAAACAAGGUUGCUGGCCUCCAGGGCUAGAUGUGUACAGACUCCCGCUGAAAUGUGACCUGAUGACCUGAUGUCAGAAGAAGAAGAUGGCGUCGUAGAUGGAUUGCUUUUAAAAGUGCCUUUUUUGUUUUUUUCAUGUGGACACACACUGAACAUUUUGGAAUACUGUGUUUUAAUUUUCUGCAAUAAAUACAUUUACUUGUACUGAGGUGGUUGCUUAUUUGAUUUCUGAAAUGUGCAUGUAUUUG